UGGGCGAAAGCCUGAUGCAGCGACGCCGCCUGAGGGAUGACGGCCUUCGGGUUGUAAACCUCUUUCAGCAGGGAAGAAGCGAAAGUGACGGUACCUGCAGAAGAAGCGCCGGCUAACUACGUGCCAGCAGCCGCGGUAAUACGUAGGGCGCAAGCGUUGUCCGGAAUUAUUGGGCGUAAAGAGCUCGUAGGCGGCUUGUCACGUCGGGUGUGAAAGCCCGGGGCUUAACCCCGGGUCUGCAUUCGAUACGGGCUAGCUAGAGUGUGGUAGGGGAGAUCGGAAUUCCUGGUGUAGCGGUGAAAUGCGCAGAUAUCAGGAGGAACACCGGUGGCGAAGGCGGAUCUCUGGGCCAUUACUGACGCUGAGGAGCGAAAGCGUGGGGAGCGAACAGGAUUAGAUACCCUGGUAGUCCACGCCGUAAACGGUGGGAACUAGGUGUUGGCGACAUUCCACGUCGUCGGUGCCGCAGCUAACGCAUUAAGUUCCCCGCCUGGGGAGUACGGCCGCAAGGCUAAAACUCAAAGGAAUUGACGGGGGCCCGCACAAGCAGCGGAGCAUGUGGCUUAAUUCGACGCAACGCGAAGAACCUUACCAAGGCUUGACAUACAC
rnacentral:rRNA from 1 species